rnacentral:misc_RNA from 1 species
AAAUCAUGCAAUACCAGGGACCCUCUCUU